CCGGCCGGAGUCAGUGGCGGGGUUCUCGCCGGUCCUGCGGGUCGCUGCUUGGCUGUGGGUUAGCAGCACCCUGAGCGGAGCGGAAGAGCUGCCCGCCGCCGCGUAACCCCGAGGCCGAGACUCCUGGCCUGGCCUCCUUGGGCCCACGACGCCUGCCCCGCGGAGCGGACCCAUGGGCCUGAGGUUUGUGUGCGGGGCCUCAGGCGAGCGCUGGCGCAGCCUGUCCCCCAUCGUCUGCGCCCUGCGGGCCUGGCCCUCCCCGUGGAAGGACCGCGGGCUUCGGGGCCCCACGCUGGGGGGCUGACUCCUGCCACACACACAGCGGUGGCCGCGGGCCUGGGGCGGCAGCACAGCCAUUCUGCUCGGGCUGCGUGAGCUGACCCCGCUCUCUGUGCACCUACUUUUGCUGCGUUUGGUGCUGAGCCUGAAGUCCCAGGACAGGCGGCUGAGGGGGAAAGAUGGUGUGAAUUGGGUGGGCAGAGACAACUGAAAGCCACAGGACCCGGUUGGCACCUUUUUGGCCGCCUGCGCCUUUGCCUGCAGCCCCGCUCCCUGGGUCACCCGAAGGAGGAGCUGGCGCUCUUUCCGGGCGCAGAAGCACCCGACCCACGCUGGAGGAAACGGUCCCUCUGGGCAGGAGAAGCUUUGGGCCUGGCUGGAGCACACUCACGGAACCACGCCAACGCCUGGCCUGUAGCCAGCUCCCACCUCCCCUCCCACCUUCUAAAAUGCUUGCGGAUCUCACGUGGCCGACCCUAACCAGAUACACAUGGGGAAAGGAAUCAGGUGGCACACAUACCGCCUUUACUCCAUAGAGAACUUCCAAUUGUGGGUAAGAACAAAGCCCCACCUCUUCCUAAUAGAUGCAGUUUUCCACCUGCAGCCAAAAAGACAACCUGUUAUUAGCUUUUUUCCCAGAGGACAGGCAUCUCUAUGAAACUGCCAUUGCAAAAUUUGCCGACAGUGAGAUAACCAGCUCCAUUUUGCUUCUAACCUCCAUGCCCUCCUUGUUUACUGCUGCACGCAGGUUGAACUGUGGGAGGAACUUAGUUUAAAACAAAGAUGAUAACAGCCCUUUCCCAAAGGAAACCUUUCCUGGGGAUUAGCCUGCUUUUGUGGGACCAACAGAUUAGCCACAAGAUUAGAAACUACGGUUGAAGAGUCACGCAGCGGGAGGCUACAGGAUUCUGACCCUCCCCAAACUGCUCCUGGCGAUAACAUCACCAUCGUAAAGCCUAAGAUCAGCACUUGGUGGGUCACCUGGCACCACCCAGGCUCAUCUGAUGUUGUGGCACCCAGGAACUGACUCAGUGCGAAAACAGCUUCGACUCCCUGUGAUUUCAUCUCUGACCUGACCAAUGGGUACUUCUGACUCACUGGCUGCCCCCCACCCACCAGCUUAUCUUUAAAAACUCCAAACCCCAGAUGCUCAGGGAGACCGAGUAAUAAUAAAACUCCAGUCUCCCACACAGCUAGCUCUGCGUGAAUUACCUUUUCUCUGUUGCAAAUGCCCUUUCUUGAUAAAUUGGCUGUCUAGGUAACAGGGAAGGUGAACCCACUGGGCAGUUACACUUUUAUCCACCCUUCCAGCUGGAUCACGCGCCCUCUUCAAUGACAUGACACGCAGCUAGAGUGUAUGAGCUUGCUGCCGGCACCUUCCGUCCUGGAUCGCAUAGCAAGGCCUCAAUGGACAGCCAGGUGCCUGGUCCGGUCCCACUUUUUUUUCUGUCCUGUUCUCGUUUCCUCUUUGCUUGGCCAAAGAGGGUUGGGCCAGGGUCCUGAGUGCAAAGGCUUGGCUUGGUGAAUUAAAGUGGCAGUAGCCGUGUGGCAGAGAAAAUUUGUAGAUGGGUGAAAUCCUGGGCCUACACAGUGACAAAGUGUAUAUAGACAGCCAGCCUAGUUGGUGGAUGUGACAACCCCAGACUCUUCUAGAUUUGUGGAUCCGUGCACCUGCCAGACCUGUCUCUGAGCCAUCUGGGGAGGCUGGGUAAGAUUUCCCCCGUCAGGGCCUGAGCCUCAUCUCCAAGCUGCUGGCUUCAGCCCAGCUGCCACCAGCGCUGUCUCUGUCUUGCGCUUUCCAGAGAGAGACUGACUCAUUUUGAGCUCCAGGCCUACCAGGCAGCCCAACCGCGGCAGUAACUGCCUCUCACACUGAGGAUGGCUCAUGCUCUGGUCCAGCCAUGGCUUGAACACCUCCCAACAAGAACAAAGCCAGACUCAUUCUCCCUAGCAUCUUCUUCCUUGCUCAAAGAUCCCACACCCCGUUAGAAGCUGGAACUGGGUCCUUGUCACCUUCCUCACCUCCCCAGUCGUAGUCUGGUUAAUCCUUACAUCUCACCACGGUCACCGUGGCUAGAUGUGACCUCCGCGAUGCUUCAGGCACGUACCAGGGCAGCCUGGGCAGGGCUGGUCACUGUGAUCUCAUGAGGUGUGAACUUGACCCCGGCCUUCUUUCCUGGGAUGCCGGCUAAGGACACAAGUUCAGUGUUUGCCCUGGCUUGUAGCCCAGCGGGGGCUCCGUCAUCCCCUGGGGAAUGCCUCGGCCUGCAAGACCGCAUACCGCAUUGGAACAGGGAAACCACCUACUUCAGCACCUCCCUCAGCAAGGUGGCAGGUCCCAACAAGCCUUGCACCACGAGGAAGUGGCAGUGGCAUUCGGGAUAUGGCUCCCUGGCCAGCUUGUGAAGUUCAAGGGGCUCGUUACUUCUUACAGCUCACAGUCCCUCCCGGGUCCAGCACACCUGAGGGCUGACCUCCCUCUUGAUUAGUGCAGGGGAAAAGCACUUUAAAAAGCUGUGUCAUGCGUAACUUGCACAUCUUCUGAUUCUGACCUGAAACUGCAUCCCAGGUCGGCACAGACGCAACCCAGUCUCCUCCCACCUCCGAGAGUGCAGUGUCCUGAAUGGAGAACCCCAGCACCCAGAAGCAUCCACUGAAGGACUAAAUUCUACACAUGAAGGCAAACGUCCGUGGUUGACAGAAAUUACACUGGCCAGAAUCCCCAGUCCCCAUGAGGCUUGUCCAGACGCAGUGAACCAGUCGCAGCUGAUAACACACAGACCAUUCCCGAUCCCAGAGGUGCAUUUCAGGAUUCAUUCUAUUUCAUCAGAGACGGGGUCUUCCUGUGUUGCCCAGGCUGGUCUCGAACUCCUGGGCUGAAGCAAUCUUCCUGCCUUGGCCUCCCAGAGGGUUGGAAUUGCAGAUGUGAGGUACUUCUUUGAUAGUGCCUCCAUGCAUGCAGAAGAUGACGUGGAGAGCUCCGCGCGGCACAGGGCAGGAAGCUGGUGUGCACUCUCAUGGAUCCGAAGCCAACACACGCCUCUCAACUGAGGACUCUGCCCCUCUGGCAUUCUUCCAGCCACCAGCCCUGGGGGCCAGGAGCCACUGAGUGGGUCACACAGCCUUAGAGGGCAACGAGGGCAGGAGCUCGCCCUGGCGGUCCCCAUGCAGACAAGAGGGUCACUGGCUUCCUUGCUUUGCUCUUCCUGGACAUCUUCCUCGACAUUCAUCUUUCCAUCCUACCAAGAGCGUGGAAACCACAGGGCAUGAGGACAGGCGGAGACAACGCUGGACCAUCUCACAGCCACAUCAAGAGGCUGCCCACAUCAGGGCUUUCUACGUGGUUGCAAGGAACACAAACCUGUGUGCUCCAUUUGCCCACUGGCACUAGGCCUCCUGCCCACCACCCGCUUCUAGGCUAUUCGAGCCGCAGGAGCUACAGGCUGCUAGAGAACCCUGCGGCAGGAUGCUGGGCGCGGUUCAGCUUUUGCCAGGGAGCAGCAUGGGACUGGGAUUUGGAAGGUGUACAGUGGCUGCGGGCUUUAGCAGGAGGAGUGUCUACAGCACCUUCUGCUCCUCCAGGUAACCUAGUGUUUUUAUCAGUAUCCAUUUUCCUGUGUGGAUCUCUUCUGCUUGAAACCUGUCCUGCCUAUUUUUCUUCCCUGGACCCUGACUGAUACACUCUUAAAACGAGAAAAGGGUACCGAUUUAUAAAGUUCGUGAAUUAAAAACUACACCAGUCAUGGAAACUCAAUGACAUCACUCAAAGAAAAUUCACAACUCUAGCCUUGAGUUAGCUCCCUCAAUAGUAUGAUGAGGUCAUGCAGAUAGAAUCAUACAGUUAUUAACAAAAGUAGUUGAUGUUAACCGAGUAAUCAGUUUUAUCUGUGUUCCUUUGAGACAGAGAGAGAGAGUGAGAAAGAGAGCGUGAGCAAGUGAGUGCACAUACUAUUGUUAAAGUCUUCUCUCUAAAGUUUUAAUAUCUGAUAUACCAUAAACACCCAGAUAAAGAACUUUAGAGAAACUGGUUAAAAAGAUUUAAAAUUCCCAACUGUAAUAAAUCCC
rnacentral:lncRNA from 10 species